GACGAGUUUGAUGCGAUGAUUG
rnacentral:siRNA from 1 species